rnacentral:rRNA from 1 species
UAGCUAAUCCUGGUCGGACAUCAGGAGGUUAGUGCAAUGGCAUAAGCUAGCUUGACUGCGAGCGUGACGGCGCGAGCAGGUGCGAAAGCAGGUCAUAGUGAUCCGGUGGUUCUGAAUGGAAGGGCCAUCGCUCAACGGAUAAAAGGUACUCCGGGGAUAACAGGCUGAUACCGCCCAAGAGUUCAUAUCGACGGCGGUGUUUGGCACCUCGAUGUCGGCUCAUCACAUCCUGGGGCUGAAGUAGGUCCCAAGGGUAUGGCUGUUCGCCAUUUAAAGUGGUACGCGAGCUGGGUUUAGAACGUCGUGAGACAGUUCGGUCCCUAUCUGCCGUGGGCGCUGGAGAAUUGAGGGGGGCUGCUCCUAGUACGAGAGGACCGGAGUGGACGCAUCACUGGUGUUCGGGUUGUCAUGCCAAUGGCACUGCCCGGUAGCUAAAUGCGGAAGAGAUAAGU